rnacentral:lncRNA from 10 species
AGAUCUUCAUUAGUGAGCGCGGUUACCUCGAGAUCAGCUUUAUCUUUUGGACCCAGGAGUCUUCCAGGAACGCUGGCAUAUCCAGGAGCUGCGAGUCCCGCUCCCGGCAGCCUUCGCAGCCUCCGGUCCCGCCCGAGCUCGCCCGGGCCUCGCGGCUCCCGCCCCGGAGGAGCGCCGCGGAGCAGGGCAAAAACUUGCGGACAGAAAGCCAGGCCAGACCCGACACAAAAGCCCCGGGGCUGAACGAUGCAGACACCCGCGGCCAAGCCGGAAGCCCGCACCAACCCCAGCCCCCACACUACAGGCCACUUAUUUUAUUUUAUUCUUUUUAAAAUGUGGGUUUCUGGUCUAUGCAAUUCACCUCGGUGUGACUCAGGAAGGACACUGGAAGUCCACUGAUCUGGCCAGGACAGAACCACGUGUGUGUUUAGGAAAAGUGGCCUUCUGUUCUCCAUCCCUAGGGGCUCACGGGAUACCCUUAGAACAGACUGGCCACAGGAAUUCCCAGUUAAGGCAGAAGGUUGACAUGAGAUCAGUGUUUCAGGAUUAAGUUCUCACGAAGGGCAGAAAACUGGGAAGCCCAUACUUUUCCACGUUAAUCAAUUGGUUCCAUAAACAUCAUUCCAUUUAUGUUUUUGUGUUUUUUAUUAAUAAUUCCUUUGAGCUUCACUGGGAGAGAUGAGUAUGACUGUGGAGUUCAGUUCUGUAAAGCAUGGGGUGGCUAAGAAAGGGAAGUAACUGGCCCCAGAAUCCCACAGUCACCCAGUGACCUUCAGCCCAAGAAUCUGAUGGCCACUGCUGCACUCCAAGGGAAAGGAGGCCAUCCGGAGAGAAGAGAAUUACAAGAAUAAGAGUGCAGAGAGUGUCCCACAGUCCUGAGAUUCGUACAGAAGCACAGGAGGAAGCAAGUGUCCAAGUAUCCAGAGUCCUGUGAAGUAGGGAUUUCAGUCCUCAAAGCUACCCUCUCCCAUCUGCCAAGUCUUCUGUGGACAAACCAUCACGUCCAGCCUUCCUUCCCUGGGCACAGAGGAGACCUGCCUCAGGCGAAGUUCUUCUGUGGAAUUAAAAAGUCUCUUGGGCUCAGCUCUCCCCAGGGGCCUUCAGAACUCACCAAGGAUAGAGCUGCAGACCUCUGGUGGUCAAAUAGGGACUAAAACCGAUUACACCUACAAGUCAAUUGCAAAUCAGUCUUUCUUUCUGUUGCACCUGUGCCCCUCACUUAGUCACCUGUCUUAGAUGGAAGCUUCGGGCCCCUCCUGGGCCCCAACCCUGCGGUCCCCAGGUUCGCGGUUUUUCACGUCUAAUCUCAAUUGGCCCCUUCCCCACACACCGUGUUUGACCACCCAGUUCACAGAACGCCCCGGGCUUCCUAGUGGGCCAGGUCCUCCUUAGAGAGGCAAGAAGGUGGAGAGGGAGCGUGGACGCCGAGCGCCCGCUGGGCAAACCCGAAUCUGGGGCCUGACCUAGCCGGUAGCCGGUGACGGGGCCGGUGGUGGCUUGGAGACUCCUCUCUGGUCCUCUGCUCUUGGCCCCAGCCCCGCGCUCACAGCCACCUCCUGAAGCCGCCAGUGCUGCGUCCUCUUGGCCACGUAGGGGAAGAGCGGACUGGACGGAAGCAGCGGACUCUGGGCGCUGUCAAGGUCACUGUUGUGAAAAGCCGGGAGACCAGAUGUGGACACAGGGAGGCCUGGACCCGAGGCGCGGCUGGCCAGAGGCCUCGUGUCUGCCCCUCUUCACAGCUUCCAGGGAAGCUCCCCGCGUAUCCUCAAAGCAGAGAGCGGUUUCCAAACGGACCCCCACAGCGCCCGAUUGGGCCAUCCCGCCCCAGGCUGGAGGGUGGGUGCUCAUGGGGUCGCCAGUCACCAAGGGCCCCAUCUGAGCGCACCCGGUCCCUCCUCCAGGCUCGCCUGGGCCUCGAGGGCGGCGAACAGCUCGGCUUUGAAGAAGGCUCCGGCCGGCGCUGCCCAAGUCGGGCAGCCUUCCUGGCCCACCCGGGAGUUGAGUUUCAAGGCUUCCCGGAGAGGCCAGCCCAGAUUCGCAGCGGAGAGUUUCUCAGGCCACAAACCUCGGAGAGAAGCAGCCGUGGUUCCCUGUGCCCUGGGCCACCGCUGGGCGGGGCAGGAAGCCUCCCUGGCGUUUCCUCGCGGGCGCGACUACGAGCCGCGGAAACCAGUGGCCGCUCCACACUAUUUAAGCUGAGGUUCCUCUGCCAUGGCUGCGGUUUGCGGUUUCAGCUUAGUGUACCACUUAGUACUAAUAUUAUUACUUAGUGAACUUAGUGCACUUAGUGCUCUAAGUUUACCAAGUUUACCAUUUAUUGUACUUAGUGUACUUAGUGCUCUAAGUUUACCAAGUUUACCACUUAGUGUACCUAGUCUACUUAAUCAACACUUAGUGUAUUUAGUGUUUCAGCUUAGUGUAGAGAGGCUUCUUUCUUCCUUUUCUGGAGGAGUCAGUGGUUAGAGACGAUUUCCGUGGUUAGAGCGUACUUGGUCUUUAGAAGACGACUUUGGUGUCCAUUGCCAACCCCAUCAGAGAUCGCAGGCCUUUUCCCCUCAGUCCCAGCUCAUCAGCAAAGGUCUGGGUGGCUGUCUCCAGAGGAGACUGAACGAGGUUGUCAAAGCGGCUGGAUCAAAAGUGUUGCCAUGUCGGAUGGAGUGGUGUCCACGAUGAACCUGAGCAUGGAGAUUUCUCCCUCUGCGCUGAGGAUCUCACUGUGCACCUCCAGCCCUGGGUCCUGGUGGGCUCUGGUGGCCACUGGAGUCUUUGGAACUGCCUCCCUCUGGCUCUGCUGGGGUUGGAUUCGGGCAUCGAUGUCACACCCAGCAGGAACAACUGGGGCCACUGGAGGAUUCCCAAGGACACAGGUUGUCCUUUUCAUGCAGGAAGAAUCUGAAUCGUUUCCAUCCAGUUUCCCCGGCAUGCAGCAGAAUACAACACAAGGGGCUGCGGUCUUCUCUGACUCUUAAGGCCCUUGGAAGAUCCUGUUCUGCCAAAAUCAGGGUGAUUUGGGCAAGCAUCCUUAGGGCUCUGGACCUUAGUUUCUUUCCCUGGUUGAUUGAUUGACCAUAUAGGUGUCCUAACUCACAUAGUUGAAAAUCAGAUGUGGUGAAAGUGCAUUGAGACCAGAAACAAUGUUAUUGUCCUGAAAUGCAUGCCCAGAGAGCACUGAAUAAAUUUUUAAAACACCUGAC